AGCAGCCGCGGUAAUUCCAGCUCCAAUAGCGUAUAUUAAAGUUGUUGCAGUUAAAAAGCUCGUAGUUGAAUUUCGGGAUCAAUAUGUUUGGUCGUGCCUCGGUACGUACUAGCUUAUUGGUUUCUCCUUUCUGAAGAACCAUGAUGUCAUUCAUUUGGUGUCGUGGGGAAUCAGGACUGUUACUUUGAAAAAUUAGAGUGUUUAAAGCAGGCUCACGCUUGAAUACAUUAGCAUGGAAUAAUGAAAUAGGACGUUUGAUUCUAUUUUGUUGGUUUCUAGGAUCGACGUAAUGAUUAAUAGGGAUAGUUGGGGGCAUUAGUAUUCAAUUGUCAGAGGUGAAAUUCUUGGGUUUAUUGAAGACUAACUACUGCGAAAGCAUUUGCCAAGGAUGUUUUCAUUAAUCAAGAACGAAAGUUAGGGGAUCGAAGACGAUCAGAUACCGUCGUAGUC
rnacentral:rRNA from 1 species